CCGGCCUAACACAUGCAAGUCGAGCGGCAGCGGGAAAGUAGCUUGCUACUUUUGCCGGCGAGCGGCGGACGGGUGAGUAAUGCCUGGGAAAUUGCCCAGUCGAGGGGGAUAACAGUUGGAAACGACUGCUAAUACCGCAUACGCCCUACGGGGGAAAGCAGGGGACCUUCGGGCUGCGCGAUUGGAUAUGCCCAGGUGGGAUUAGCUAGUUGGUGAGGUAAUGGCUCACCAAGGCGACGAUCCCUAGCUGGUCAGGAUGAUCAGCCACACUGGAACUCACGGUCAGACUCCUACGGGAGGCAGCAGUGGGGAAUAUUGCACAAUGGGGGAAACCCUGAUGCAGCCAUGCCGCGUGUGUGAAGAAGGCCGUAAAGCACUUUCAGCGAGGAGGAAAGGUUGAUGCCUAAUAAUCAACUGUGACGUUACGCAGAAGAAGCACCGGCCGUGCCAGCAGCCGGGGUAGAGGGUGCAAGCGUUAAUCGAAUUACUGGGCGUACGCAGGCGGUUGGAUA
rnacentral:rRNA from 1 species